rnacentral:rRNA from 1 species
AGUUUGAUCCUGGCUCAGGACGAACGCUGGCGGCGUGCCUAAUGCAUGCAAGUCGCACGCACUCGCUUCGGCGGGUGAGUGGCGCACGGCUGAGUAACACGUGGGAACCCGCCCCCCGGUGGGGGGAUAACGCGACGAAAGUCGCGCUAAUCCCGCAUACGUCCGCAGGGGGAAAGCGCUUCGGCGCGCCGGGGGAGGGGCCUGCGGCCCAUCAGGUCGUUGGUGGGGUAACGGCCUACCAAGCCGAUGACGGGUAGCUGGUCUGGGAGGAUGACCAGCCAGACUGGGACUGAGACACGGCCCAGACUCCUACGGGAGGCAGCAGCAAGGAAUUUUCGGCAAUGGGCGCAAGCCUGACCGAGCAACGCCGCGUGCGGGAUGACGGCCUUCGGGUUGUAAACCGCUUUUCGGGGGGACGAUGAUGACGGUACCCCCGGAACAAGCCCCGGCUAACUCUGUGCCAGCAGCCGCGGUAAGACAGAGGGGGCGAGCGUUGUCCGGAGUCACUGGGCGUAAAGCGCGCGCAGGCGGUCGCCAAAGUGUCGUGUGAAAGCCCCCGGCUCAACCGGGGGAGGCCAUGGCAAACUCGGCGACUGGAGCGGCGGAGAGGCCCCUCGAAUUGCCGGUGUAGCGGUGAAAUGCGUAGAGAUCGGCAGGAAGACCAAGGGGGAAGCCAGGGGGCUGGCCGCUGGCUGACGCUGAGGCGCGACAGCGUGGGGAGCGAACCGGAUUAGAUACCCGGGUAGUCCACGCCGUAAACAAUGACCACUCGGCGUGCGGCGACUAUUGACGUCGCGGUGCGCCUUAGCUCACGCGCUAAGUGGUCCGCCUGGGAACUACGAGCGCAAGCUUAAAACUCAAAGGAAUUGANGGGGGCCCGCACAAGCAGCGGAGCGUGUGGUUUAAUUCGAGGCAACCCGAAGAACCUUU